rnacentral:rRNA from 1 species
GAUGAACGCUGGCGGCGUGCCUCAAACAUGCAAGUCGAGCGGGGCUAUGUAAUAUCGCAAGGUAGAACAUAGCCUAGCGGCGAACGGGUGAGUAACACGUGGGUAACCUGCCUGGAAGACAGGGAUAACGAUUCGAAAGGGUCGCUAAUACCUGAUAAUAUCCUUUCAUCGCAUGGUGAUAGGAAGAAAGGGGAAACCCGCUUUCAGAUGGGCCCGCGUCCCAUCAGCUAGUUGGUAAGGUAAAGGCUUACCAAGGCGACGACGGGUAGCCGGUCUGAGAGGAUGUACGGCCACACUGGGACUGAGAUACGGCCCAGACUCCUACGGGAGGCAGCAGUUGGGAAUCUUAGGCAAUGGACGAAAGUCUGACCUAGCGACGCCGCGUGAGGGAAGAAGGCCUUCGGGUUGUAAACCUCUGUCAUGGGGAAGAAGUAAGUGACGGUACCCCAAGAGGAAGCCCCUGCUACUACGUG